rnacentral:rRNA from 1 species
UACAGAGGUCUCAAGCGUUGUUCGGAUUCAUUGGGCGUAAAGGGUGUGUAGGUGGCGCGCUAAGUCGGGUGUGAAAUUUCGGAGCUUAACUCCGAAACUGCAUUCGAUACUGGCGUGCUUGAGGACUGGAGAGGAGACUGGGAAUUCAUGGUGUAGCAGUGAAAUGCGUAGAGAUCAUGAGGAAGACCAGUGGCGAAGGCGGGUCUCUGGACAGUUCCUGACACUGAGACACGAAGGCCAGGGGAGCAAAACGGG